rnacentral:rRNA from 1 species
AUUGAACGCUGGCGGCAGGCCUAACACAUGCAAGUCGAGCGAGCGGCGGACGGGUGAGUAAUGUCUGGGAAACUGCCUGAUGGAGGGGGAUAACGUCCGGAAACGGGCGCUAAUACCGCAUACUAUCAGAUGAGCCUAGGUCGGAUUAGCUAGUAGGUGGGGUAAUGGCUCACCUAGGCGAAGAUCCCUAGCUGGUCUGAGAGGAGGACCAGCCACACUGGAACUGAGACACGGUCCAGACUCCUACGGGAGGCAGCAGUGGGGAAGAUUGCACAAUGGGCGCAAGCCUGAUGCAGCCAUGCCGCGUGUAUGAAGAAGGCCUUCGGGUUUUAAAGUACUUUCAGCGGGGAGGCGUUACCCGCAGAAGAAGCACCGGCUAACUCCGUGCCAGCAGCCGCGGUAAUUC